ACACGGAUAAGAAAAGGGUGAGAGAGUGCAGAACAAUAAGCCUUGCUCUCAGGAUCGUGCCCCUUCUGCAUCAUGACUAACCCUUGGCUAAUACGCUUGCCAUUCAGCACAGGCUCAGGAGAUGAAGAAAUAUGGGCAUACUUCAUGAAAAAGAAGAGACUGUUGCACGCCAGAAGAAAUCACAUGAAAACACAAGCGGGCUGGAAACUGAAGAUAAUCCUGCCUGAACCUCUAGUAAAUGUCUGUGAAUUGGGCAGUGCGAUUUCACAAAUAAAGGCUUCUCCUGCUUGCUGGGAGCAAACUUUGUGUACAAGAAGCCAAAGAAGCAUAGGGAGAAGUGCAAGGGGCAACGCUAGGUCAGGAGUAUUGCCUCUGGCUGCAAACGUUCCUGUUUAAGCCUUUUGGAUUGUUUAAGCAAUCCUCACCAUACCCUGGACUGCCAGAAAGUUGAACACCUGGGUCCUAGAUCAAUUCAAGCCUGGACUACCUUUCAGAAAUAACAAAACUGAGGCUGUCCUACUUUGGGCACAUCAUGAGAAGGCAAGAUUUGCUGGAGAAGAUAAUAAUGCUAGCAAAAGUUGAAGGCAGCAGGAAAAGAGGAAGACCAACAGCGAGAUGGACUGCCUCCAUCGAGGAGGUUUUGAGUUUACAAGAGUUCAGCAGGGCUGCUGAGGGCAGGAAGUUUUGGAGAUCUCUCAUUCAUAAGGUCACAUAAGUCAGACGUAGUUUGAUGGCACAUAACGCCAGCAACAUGGCUUCCUUAAAGACUAGAUACUUUAUUCUUUUAAAAAAGCCAAAUGGAAGUGGAGGAUUAUGCAUGUGUUGUGUUGAGCAGUCCAGAUUCUGAUUGUGAGUCUUACAUCUAAAAUAUUAUACUGUUGCUAAUCAUGGAUCAGAUUAUUUGUAACCAGUGGACGAUAAACAUACAGGGUCAGAAUCCAUUUGAGACUCCACUGAGCAGGAGGCUGUACCAGCAGAGUCUUGUGAGCUGCACAGCGUUGCUGUUGGGUGAGUGGCCCUUUCUACUGAGACAGCCCCGUUUACACUUAUGGGAGGAGGUGGUCGAGAUCUUGCAGACGAAAGUGUCAAAACACUUGUGUUUUAACAGUUGAUUGCAAAAGCAAUUUGGCCGAACAAGAUCCUGGUCAUAGAAACAAGACUACCAGGAGGACCUGCGUUAAUAACCAUGUUCAUUCUUUGCAGAGGGAGCAUGAAACCCUGUGCAGCACAAUUGUCUGCCCUUCAGAUGAUGAUGUUUGAAGCUGGCAUACUUAGAUGAGACCUGCAGAGAAAUCAGUUAGCAAAUGCAAUGGUUAGUCCCUGAUUUCUAUUAUCACUUAUGUUUUAGCCACUAUGGGUUGUAUCCAGACUUUAAUACUUAUCUACCGGGUAAAAGAAAAGCAAAAUAAGCCCUCCACAUCCUAAAGAAUGCUGCUGAAAAGCUGGGGUAACUAGCGGUAAUGUAUUUUUAUAUUUUUGUUUCUGUUUUGUGCAGAAGGAACUGCAACCAGUGUUCAGUUCUGGUGCUCAGAAGAUGGGCCAGGACUCUACCUUGUUCCUCAGUGUCUCUCGUUUGCACUAGGCUUGGUAGAUCUCAGCAUUCUAACUUAAAAACAAAUGCCUCAAACAGAUCCUGCAAACCCUGAUGCCUGCACUCCCUAGCUAUUGAGGUUCAGCUUUGUUGCGCAUUAAAAUAAUUGGCCAGUAUCCUUUUGCAAAAGCGUGAAGCAGAGCAGCAGUUUUGUAAGGACCUCCCUUCUCCAGCAGACUUCCUGUCUUGUGCUCAUUCUCACACUGGUUAUGAGGUCAGGCAUACACCAGGAAACCUGAUGGAGCGAGAGGAGGGACUUCAUCAAACUACCCUUCUACUCUUAAGUUUUGUAGUAGUGUGCAGGCCAUUAUCUUUUUUCAAAAGGUUCCUUUAGCCUGUGAGACCAUGGUUUGGUCUUCCCCAAAUUACCUGUAAGGACAGUGGCACGGUGUUCUGUUUUACAGAGGGAGAUUCAGCUGAAAAAAGUGUUUUUUUUUUUAAUCAAAUGAAGAUAUAUUCCCCGCAAAAUCAUCUUGAAUAGUAAUGGGUAUUGCAAACAGUGGAUAGUAAUUGGUUUCAUUUAAAUUAUUUCCAAAUGCCUAAAGAGGAUUUUUACACGGACAGGACCUAGCUUGUGACUCACUAAUCCAUAGGCCGACCUGGUGGAUACUAAAUACAAUCCCUAGAGGUAUUAAACACUUAGCAUUUUGUUUCCUCUGGAAUCAUCUGGGGUCAUUAACUCAAAUAACAGGUUGACUUCCACCUUGGGUGAUGUCUGAAAAAACAAGCAGUUUCCUCCUGAGAGAACUCGGCUUACAUGGCAUUAUUCCUUCAGCUUUUGAAGAGUUUAUUAUUAUCCCUUAAAAAUGCUUAUGACUGGCCCGCAGAAAUCUUCAUUCCCUAUUUGACUUACAUCUUAUAUGUGUUGUAAUAUUUGUGCUUCUGCUGUAAAUACGUUAUCACCUUGAACACUCACAUUCACUUUAACUGUCACCAUUGCUUUGAGCAGGGAGGGAGGAGGGCGUUAAUAAAUGAAUUGAUAAUUGUAUAUUUUGCUAGAAC
ensembl:lncRNA